rnacentral:rRNA from 1 species
AGAGUUUGAUCAUGGCUCAGGACGAACGCUGGCGGCGUGCUUAACACAUGCAAGUCGAGCGGAAAGGCCCUUCGGGGUUCUCGAGCGGCGAACGGGUGAGUAACACGUGAGGAACCUGCCCUCAGCUCUGGGAUAGCCUCCGGAAACGGGGAUUAAUACCGGAUAGGACCUCUCUCUGCAUGGAGGGGGGUGGAAAGAUU